rnacentral:rRNA from 1 species
UACGGAGGGGGUUAGCGUUGUUCGGAAUUACUGGGCGUAAAGCGCACGUAGGCGGAUCAGAAAGUUGGGGGUGAAAUCCCGGGGCUCAACCCCGGAACUGCCUCCAAAACUCCUGGUCUUGAUUCAGAGAGGUGAGUGGAAUUCCGAGUGUAGAGGUGAAAUUCGUAGUAUUCGGAGGAACACCAGUGGCGAAGGCGGCUCACUGGCUCGAUACUGACGCUGAGGUGCGAAAGUGUGGGGAGCAAACAGGAUUCAGAUACCCCCUAGUCC